AUUGAACGCUGGCGGCAGGCCUAACACAUGCAAGUCGAACGAGUGGCGGACGGGUGAGUAAUGUCUGGGAAACUGCCUGAUGGAGGGGGAUAACUACUGGAAACGGUAGCUAAUACCUCAUACCAUCGGAUGUGCCCAGAUGGGAUUAGCUAGUGGGUGGGGUAAAGGCUCACCUAGGCGCCGAUCCCUAGCUGGUCUGAGAGGAUGACUAGCCACACUGGAACUGAGACACGGUCCAGCCUCCUACUGGCGGCAGCAGUUGGGAAUAUUGCACAAUGGGCGCAAGCCUGAUGCAGCCAUGCCGCGUGUAUGAAGAAGGCCUUCGUGUUGUAAAGUACUUUCAGCGGGGAGGCGUUACCCGCAGAAGAAGCACCGGCUAACUCCGUGCCAGCAGCCGCGGUAAUUC
rnacentral:rRNA from 1 species